GUGUCCACUCACGGGUGCGCUUCAUUAAGCGCUGAGAAUAAACCGUUUGAACCUGAUCCGGGUUAUGCCGGCGAUAGGAAGAGAAUUAUGCAUAAUG
rnacentral:ncRNA from 1 species